UUCUGGCAUGACCUAUGUCAUGAACAAAAAGUGGAUAUUAUGGGUGAUGGUACAGUCCGAGACGGAAAAGUCAUUGGAGCCCAUCUUUUACGGGUUAGCACACCAGUACAGGAUGGCUGGAAUUGAGAAGGCACAGUACCAGUGGGUAGAAAGGGAUUGCUGUGUAGCAUAUAUAGUGCCAGACCAUGAAGAAAUGGAACACCUGAACUGGGAUGCUUGGCAGCUUGGCAAUGGCUUUAUUGCUAAGGCAACAUCGGCUGAUCUGUGAAACGCAUGUGCAUCAAUUGUAUGAGACGUUUCCUCUGGAUUGCUGUGCAGCAUUUGGAGUGCCAGCUAUUAAUGCAAAGAAGGACCUGAACUGGGAUACUGGCAUUGCUGAAGUUAGUUUCUGGUGACCUACAAAACUCCUGUGCAUCAAAAUGCUGCUGCAACCAUCAUCUAACC